rnacentral:misc_RNA from 1 species
UAUGUGCGGCAGACAAUUGUAUCUGAUGCUUCCUCUGCAUUGUCACGGGCAGUUUGUAUUGCUACAAGGUAUAGUGCUGUCCGCAGACAAUUUGGUCCUCAGGAUGGUGGUGUUGAGACCCAGGUGAUUGAUUACAAAACUCAGCAAAGUAGACUCUUCCCAUUGCUUGCUUCUGCAUAUGCUUUCAGAUUUGUUGGUGAAUGGUUGAAAUGGCUUUAUCUGGAUGUGACCCAGAGGUUGCAAGCCAAUGAUUUCUCAACAUUGCCUGAAGCUCAUGCAUGUACUGCUGGUUUAAAGUCUUUAACUACUUCUGCAACUGCUGAUGCCAUUGAAGAAUGUAGGAAACUUUGUGGGGGACAUGGUUACCUUAGCUCCAGUGGGCUUCCUGAGUUGUUUGCUGUAUAUGUUCCAGCCUGUACAUAUGAAGGAGACAAUGUUGUGCUGCUUUUACAGGUUGCUAGAUUUCUCAUGAAGACUGUUUCUCAGCUGGGUUCUGGAAAGAAGCCUGUGGGAACAACAGCUUAUAUGGCACGGGCAGAGGAUCUUUUGCAG